rnacentral:snRNA from 1 species
GCCAGAAAACUGCCAUUCAAA